rnacentral:rRNA from 1 species
AACGAACGCUGGCGGCAGGCUUAACACAUGCAAGUCGAACGCAUCCUUCGGGGUGAGUGGCAGACGGGUGAGUAACGCGUGGGAACGUGCCCUUCAGUUCGGGAUAACCCAGGGAAACUUGGGCUAAUACCGGAUACGUGCGAGAGCAGAAAGAUUUAUCGCUGAAGGAUCGGCCCGCGUCUGAUUCGCCAGUUGGUGGGGUAAUGGCCCACCAAGGCGACGCUCAGUAGCUGGUCUGAGAGGAUGAUCAGCCACAUUGGGACUGAGACACGGCCCAAACUCCUACGGGAGGCAGCAGUGGGGAAUAUUGGACAAUGGGCGCAAGCCUGAUCCAGCCAUGCCGCGUGAGUGAUGAAGGCCUUAGGGUUGUAAAGCUCUUUCGUCCGGGACGAUAAUGACGGUACCGGAAGAAGAAGCCCCGGCUAACUUCGUGCCAGCCGCCGCCGUAA